CCUACGGGUGGCAGCAGUGAGGAAUAUUGGUCAAUGGGCGCGAGCCUGAACCAGCCAAGUCGCGUGAGGGAAGACGGUCCUAUGGAUUGUAAACCUCUUUUGUCGGGGAGCAAAAGACGCCACGCGUGGCGUUCCGAGAGUACCCGAAGAAAAAGCAUCGGCUAACUCCGUGCCAGCAGCCGCGGUAAUACGGAGGAUGCGAGCGUUAUCCGGAUUUAUUGGGUUUAAAGGGUGCGCAGGCGGGUUGUUAAGUCAGUUGUGAAAGUUUGCGGCUCAACCGUAAAAUUGCAGUUGAUACUGGCAUCCUUGAGUACAGUAGAGGUAGGCGGAAUUCGUGGUGUAGCGGUGAAAUGCUUAGAUAUCACGAAGAACUCCGAUUGCGAAGGCAGCCUGCUGGACUGUAACUGACGCUGAUGCUCGAAAGUGUGGGUAUCAAACAGGAUUAGAUACCCGGGUAGUC
rnacentral:rRNA from 1 species